rnacentral:rRNA from 1 species
GACGAACGCUGGCGGCGCGCCUAAAACAUGCAAGUCGAACGAGAAGCCCGGGCUUGCCCGGGUGGACAGUGGCGAACGGGUGAGUAACACGUGAGGAACCUGCCCCGAAGACCGGGACAACACCGGGAAACCGGUGCUAAUACCGGAUGCCUUCACCGGAUCGCAUGGUCUGGUGAAGAAAUGGAUUCCGCUUCGGGAUGGCCUCGCGGCCUAUCAGCUUGUUGGUGAGGUAACGGCUCACCAAGGCAACGACGGGUAGCUGGUCUGAGAGGAUGUCCAGCCACACUGGGACUGGGACACAGCCCAGACCCCUACGGGAGGCAGCAGUUAGGAAUCUUGCGCAAUGGACGAAAGUCUGACGCAGCGACGCCGCGUGCGGGAUGAAGGCCCUCGGGUUGUAAACCGCUUUCAGCAGGGACGAAAUUGACGGUACCUGCAGAAGAAGCCCCGGCCAACUACGUGCCAGCAGCCGCCGUAAGAC